GACGAACGCUGGCGGCGUGCUUAACACAUGCAAGCCGAACGGAAAGGCCCUGCUUUUGUGGGGUGCUCGAGUGGCGAACGGGUGAGUAACACGUGAGUAACCUGCCCUUGACUUUGGGAUAACUUCAGGAAACUGGGGCUAAUACCGGAUAGGAGCUCCUGCUGCAUGGUGGGGGUUGGAAAGUUUCGGCGGUUGGGGAUGGACUCGCGGCUUAUCAGAUUGUUGGUGGGGUAGUGGCUUACCAAGGCUUUGACGGGUAGCCGGCCUGAGAGGGUGACCGGCCACAUUGGGACUGAGAUACGGCCCAGACUCCUACGGGAGGCAGCAGUGGGGAAUAUUGCACAAUGGGCGGAAGCCUGAUGCAGCAACGCCGCGUGCGGGAUGACGGCCUUCGGGUUGUAAACCGCUUUCGCCUGUGACGAAGCGUGAGUGACGGUAAUGGGUAAAGAAGCACCGGCUAACUACGUG
rnacentral:rRNA from 1 species